AUUAGAUUAAUAUACAACACUCUGAUCUUACUGCUAGUAUCACUGAAAGUUCUUCAGGUGUAAAUAGAAAAAUUACUUAAUGAUAUGAAUUAUAUACCCAGAUCCUUGAUUCCUUCUUUAUUUAAUUAUGGUGGUUGAAAUAACUGUAUCCUCAGGCAUUGGCACUUACUUUUACUUUUUGAUUUUUAAUAUCCUCAUUUUCUCUUCCAGGAAGAAUUCCAAGGUCCUAUUGCAAGCCAAAGUAGAAGAUACUUUUUAUUCAGGCCACGCAAUGGAAGAAGAUCAGAAGGUUACAUUUAAAAUGAACACCAGCUAUAUUCUGCAGAAUCAACGCUAUGGGAUAUAAAAUGUACUGAAUUUUUUCUUUUCUUCUGAAAAACAAUCCUUGCUAAGUUUAACAAGUUUGAGAAUCCCUGUGUUGUAAACAUUCUUAGUAAAAGUUUAACUGAGAUUGUAAAUGUUUAAUUUAUUGAAAAUUAAAGAAGCAUCUUAAAAUAUUUUUUCUUAGUGUUUAAUGAUAAAUCGUGUAUAAUAAAGCUGUAAAU
rnacentral:lncRNA from 1 species